rnacentral:rRNA from 1 species
CAGUCGCCGCGGUAAUACGUAGGUCCCGAGCGUUGUCCGGAUUUAUUGGGCGUAAAGGGAGCGCAGGCGGUUUAGUAAGUCUGAAGUUAAAGGCAUUGGCUCAACCAAUGUAUGCUUUGGAAACUGUUAGACUUGAGUGCAGAAGGGGAGAGUGGAAUUCCAUGUGUAGCGGUGAAAUGCGUAGAUAUAUGGAGGAACACCGGUGGCGAAAGCGGCUCUCUGGUCUGUCACUGACGCUGAGGCUCGAAAGCGUGGGUAGCGAACAGGAUUAGAUACCCGCGUAGUCCCUGUCUCUUAUACA